rnacentral:misc_RNA from 1 species
AUACCUUAUUCUGUAUGUACGCUGGACCGUUUGUAUUCUGUAUCCCAGUUUACUUUGUGUCUAUGUUUGUACUAAAACGAGACUACAGGCGAGCAAAAAGACCUCAAUACAUAAAAAUGGAUGAUAAAUGAUCUAGUGUAAUAGGACAACUAGAUAUAAGGUCAACUAUGAUCCUUUCUGUAACAUUUUCAGUGAAUAUAAAAUGCUAUGGUUGGUUCAAUGUAAAAGUUCUAAAUGAUAAUGUUGAUAAUGAUGUUGAACAUAUACAUGUACUGCAUCAAUUGAUAUUUGUAGAAAUUUUUUUUAUAAUAUUAUUUUUCUUUUGGGGGGGGGGGGUGUCUAAUUAAAAUUAGUAUCAUGACUUAACUCUGUAAUUAAAUGUAACCUAGCUAUUUAGUUUCCAUGACAAAGGUUUAAAUAAGAAAUAAAAUGUGA